rnacentral:rRNA from 1 species
AAUCAACGCUGGCGGCGUGCCUCAGACAUGCAAGUCGAACGCGAAAUUUCCCUUCGGGGAGAAAGUAGAGUGGCGCACGGGUGAGUAACACGUAGGUAAUUUGCCUUCGGGUGGGGAAUAACAGCCGGAAACGGCUGCUAAUACCGCAUAAUGCAGCGGCUCGACAUCGAGACAGUUGUUAAAGCGGGGGAUCGCAAGACCUCGCGCCUGAAGAGAAGCCUGCGGCAGAUUAGCUAGUUGGUAGGGUAAUGGCCUACCAAGGCAACGAUCUGUAGCCGGCCUGAGAGGGCGGUCGGCCACACUGACACUGACAUACGGGUCAGACUCCUACGGGAGGCAGCAGUCGGGAAUUUUGGGCAAUGGGCGAAAGCCUGACCCAGCAACGCCG